CUUAGCAAUCUUCUUAGUACAAGGAUACGAGGAGGAAUCAUCGUGGAGCCCCGCCAAUUUGCCACUCCUUUCUCCGCUCCCCAUUCUCGCAGCGAUUCCUUAAAUACUCGAAUCAAAUUAUUCAGAGAGCGAGGAAAAGCUGGAAGCUUUGGGUAAUGUGCUAGUACGUUGCGAGAGUAAUGCUCCAUUGAUUCCCAACAUUCGCCCCGUUACGGAUUACGGCCAACCCAGUUGUUGAUAAUAAUAUUGAGGAGCUUGAUUUGUGGAAUUCAAUAAGUGACAAUUCUUCGAUGCAUGAGCUCCACCACACAAAGAACACCAUUGAAUUUGUGAUGGGAAAGUUUGAUGGGUGCUUUCUUGAAUAACUUUGAUGGAUGGUAUAUUGGGAUUACUAGUCGGACUGGUCAACCAAAAGGGCAUGUGUCACAUGGAUCGGCUCAUGAAAAUAACUGGAUCAAGAAAGCCCAAGAAGAACACCUAAUGCUAAUUGUAACUUAGGAGUUUAAUAGGGUUGUACUUAUUAUUCAUAAUGUAAUAUAGAUUAGGCAUGUUAUUCCCAGUAUAAUAAGAAUUGGACUCAUUGUCCUCCAAUGUAACAAGGACUCCCAAUAUGAGGCAAUGGGGUGAUUUCACUAU